rnacentral:rRNA from 1 species
CCAGACUCCUACGGGAGGCAGCAGUGGGGAAUAUUGCACAAUGGGGGAAACCCUGAUGCAGCGACGCCGCGUGAGUGAGGAAGUAUUUCGGUAUGUAAAGCUCUAUCAGCAGGGAAGAAAAUGACGGUACCUGACUAAGAAGCCCCGGCUAACUACGUGCCAGCAGCCGCGGUAAUACGUAGGGGGCAAGCGUUAUCCGGAUUUACUGGGUGUAAAGGGAGCGUAGACGGCUGCGCAAGUCAGAAGUGAAAGCCCGUGGCUCAACCGCGGGACUGCUUUUGAAACUGUGUAGCUAGAGUGCAGGAGAGGUAAGUGGAAUUCCUAGUGUAGCGGUGAAAUGCGUAGAUAUUAGGAGGAACACCGGUGGCGAAGGCGGCUUACUGGACUGUAACUGACGUUGAGGCUCGAAAGCGUGGGGAGCAAACAGGAUUAGAUACCCUCGUAACA